UCUUAAUGCUCAACAGAGUCAAGUGGCCCAGCCAUCAAGUGAACCACCUCAAUCUGCGGGAGACAUUGAUCCUGAAUUCCUUGUUGCCCUCCCCCCAGAUAUUCGAGCAAAAGUGCUGGCACAACAACAAGCUCAAAGACUACAUCAAUCACAUGAAUUGGAAGGCCAACCAGUUGAAAUGGACACUGUUUCAACAAUUGCGACAUUUCUGCUGAUUUGCGGGAGGAGGUGCUCUUAACAUCUUCAGAUGCUAUUCUGGCCAAUCUAACACCCGCCCUUGUUGCGGAGGCAAAUAUGUUACAUGAAAGGUUUGCUCAUCAAUAUCAUAGCUGCAUGCUUCUUGGCAUGUACCCCAGAAACCUGCGGGGUGAGUCUUCUAGACGGGGUGAUGCUGUUGGAUCAAGCCUUGAUGGACCUGCAAGAGGCAUCUCCUCACGCAGAACUGCAGGAGGUUGUCUCCCAAUGACUUAGAAUGCUCUACAUUUGCAUCAACCUCUUUGGGAUCUGAAUGUGGGAUGUGUUUGUGAUGCAUGAAAUGUAAUGGGCUGCUAAUUUUGUUGUGUUAGCUGCUGUUGGUCUCUUGUGCCAGUGUUGUAACUCAAUUGUCAUAUUUGAUAGGUGAGGCCUGGAUUUUUAUUUAUUUAAGCCCCGCCCAAAUGAAUGUGUAUAUUUUUCAAUUAAUAAAAUUUCAGGUGGUGUGAUAAAUUCAAUGGUAUGAUCUUUUCAUCUAUUCUACAAUGGUCACUAUAGGUGUUGUGCAA